AGUGAACGCUGGCGGUAGGCCUAACACAUGCAAGUCGAACGGCAGCACAGUAAGAGCUUGCUCUUCCGGGUUGCGAGUGGCGUACGGGUGAGGAAUACAUCGGAAUCUACUUUUUCGUGGGGGAUCACGUAGGGAAACUUACGCUAAUACCGCAUACGACCUACGGGUGAAAGCAGGGGAUCUUUGGACCUCGCGCGAUUGAAUGAGCCGAUGUUGGAUUAGUUAGUUGGCGGGGUAAAGGCCCACCAAGGCGACGAUACGUAGCUGGUCUGAGAGGAGGAUAAGCCACACUGGAACGGGAACGCGGUCCAGACUCCUACGGGAGGCAGCAGUGGGGAAUAUUAGACAAUGGGCGCAAGCCUGAUCCAGCCGUACCGCGUGGGUGAAGAAGGCCUUCGGGUUGUAAAGCCCUUUUUUUGGGAAAGAAAAGCAGCAGGUUAAUACCCCGCUGUUCUGACGGUACCCAAAGAAUAAGCACCGGCUAACUUCGUG
rnacentral:rRNA from 1 species